rnacentral:rRNA from 1 species
GAUGAACGCUGGCGGCGUGCCUAAUACAUGCAAGUAGAACGCUGAAGGAAGGAGCUUGCUCUUUCCGGAUGAGUUGCGAACGGGUGAGUAACGCGUAGGUAACCUGCCUGGUAGCGGGGGAUAACUAUUGGAAACGAUAGCUAAUACCGCAUAACAGUAGAUGUUGCAUGAUAUCUACUUAAAAGGUGCAAUUGCACCACUACCAGAUGGACCUGCGUUGUAUUAGCUAGUUGGUGAGGUAACGGCUCACCAAGGCGACGAUACAUAGCCGACCUGAGAGGGUGAUCGGCCAAACUGGGACUGAGACACGGCCCAGACUCCUACGGGAGGCAGCAGUAGGGAAUCUUCGGCAAUGGGCGGAAGGCUGAACGAGCAACGCCGCGUGAGUGAAGAAGGUUUUCGGAUCGUAAAACUCUGUUGUAAGAGAAGAAAGAGUGUGAGAGUGGAAAGUUCACACUGUGACGGUAUCUUACCAGAAAGGGACGGCUAACUACGUG